AACGGCAAACUGAUAGUGGCAAACGGUCAACCAUUUAAUUAAAUUUCAGCUCAACGGUCACUUGGACCAAUCAAAACGGUUAACCGAUAACGUUUAACGACGAUCCAAUUUCGUGCAGAAAGUCAACAACGGCUAUAUUUCAGUUCCAACUAUAAAUAAACUCAAUCAAAUUCACAUAAAGGUUGAUCACAACGUUAUCAUUGAGCUUAUAAUCGAGAAUACAACAUCCAUUGAGCUUCAAAUUCAUUCUUGUUUCAUUUAUUCACACAUUGGGCAUUGAUUUGUAAUCAUAUAUAUUGUGUGAGAGAAAAACAAAUUUGUAAUCUUCGUUUUGAAUGAUUGGAAGUGUUGGGAUACAUUUGGGUUAAGAGAUUGGAGAUAAUCUCUUGGUGUAAAGGUUGAUUGACACAUUUGAAGUCAAUUGUAAGUGUUCUUGAAGCCUUGAAAGCUUAACUAGUGGAAUCCUUAAGCCUGGUGUGCUUGGAGGCAUGGACGUAGGCGAGGUUGGCCGAACCACGUAAAAAUCUCUGUGUUUGAAUCUCUCUUCCCUUAUCUUUUUACAUUUUGGUUGAUUUACUUAUUGUUGCUUGAAAUUUGUUUCAUAUUUGAGUUAAGUUUUGUUUAAGUUCUGCAAAAUUUUUAGAACCCAAUUCACCCCCGUCUUGGGUUGCUUAGAUAGUAUUUUAAUUUAAACAAAAUUAUUUUUCUUGAUGUUGAUCAAGCCAAAACAAAUAAAAAGAUACUCUUAUAUUACUAGACUCAUAUAAAAUAUCGAUAAAAUUACAUCUAAUUUUCACUUUUAUACAUAUUUCAUAUUAUUUUAAACUUUACUUCUUACUUAAACUAAAAUAUCAUUUGGGCUUGCUAUCGAGGAUGCUUAGAAGGAUGCAUAAUUACUUAUCUUUUAAUUAGUUUUGAGGAAUACGAAAAGAACAGUUUUUCAAAAAUUU
rnacentral:lncRNA from 1 species